rnacentral:rRNA from 1 species
AUGACCUCGCAGCAGUCACCGUCGCCGGCGGAGGCGAAGUCACCGCGACCACCCGCACCCACCACCGUAAUCGCCCUCGACGAUGAUCUCCUCCGCGAGAUCUUCCUCCGCCUCCACUCCCUACCGACCCUUGUCCGUGCCGCCCUCAGCUGCCGCACCUUUUUCCACGCCGUCCGGUCGUCCCCCGCCUUCCGCCGCAGCUUCCGGGAGGCCCGCCCACCACCUCUCCUCGGCCUCUUCUUCGACCCCGACGGGCCCUCCAUCCCCGCCUUCGCACCCCUCCGCCGCCGCUCCGACCCUGACCUCGCCGCCGUCGUCCGCGGCGCCGAUUUCUUCCUCACCCACCUCCCCGACGACGACGACGACGCCGCCGCCUUACCGGAGUGGGUCAUAUACGACUGCCGCGACGGCUACAUCCUCCUCGAACACGGAAGCCUGGAGCAGUACGCCGUCUACAACCCCCUCACACGGGCCCUGGAUCUCAUCCCCCAGCCGCCCGACGAGAUCUUCGACGACCAGAAUGGCGACGCCUCCUGUCUUGGGUGCUACAUACUCUCCUCCCAAGAGGGCGGCGAACCGCUGCGCCUGGUCUACACCUGUCACGUCGAGUCGCGGGCGCGUGCCGCGGUCUUCUCAUCAGAAAGCAGGGAGUGGCAGAUCCUCCCGUGGUCGGAGCCUGUGACGCCACUGCCUGAGGACGAACACUGGCUUAAGGUUGGCUCAAUGGUGAAUGAGCUCGUCUACUGGAUACACAAAAAUCAAGCCUACAUCCUUGUGCUGAACACUGUGACACUGCAAUUCUCCCAGAUGGAUGUGCCGCCAAAUUUGGUGGAUCAAGAUUUAAUGUUUAAGGUUGGUGAGACCAAGGAUGGAAGGCCUUGCAUUGUCUGCCCGAUUGAUUUUGAACUUCAUGCUUGGGUCUGGCGAGCCGGUCAGGAUGGAAUUGAGACAUGGAUAUUCGACAAGAAGUUUCCCUUGGAGACGAUUGUCGAGGUCACUGAGGGCACAUUUGAGGAACAUUGUGAACUGAAGGUUUUGGCCAUCAUUGGUGGAUUUGUGUACUUCUGUACCAUGGAUAUGUUGCGUGAUGCUAUUUAUCCUUGUUGGUUCCUGUCUCUAUGCAUGGAGACAGGGGAGCUGGGCACGCUCUUUCGGAGGAGAUUUGACGGCCAUGCCUACCCCUACAUCAUGGCAUGGCCUCCUUCUUUGAUAGACAACAAGGUGAACCCUCAACUCGAAGGUGCUUGA